AACAGGCUAAUAAGCGCAAGAGAGUACAAAUUGAGUGCGCGGUUUGGCACCUCGAUGUCGGCUUAGCUCAUCCUCUUGAACGUAGGAAUCAUGAAGGGUUCGACUGUUCGUCGAUUAAAGAGCUACAUGAGUUGGGUUUAAUACGUCGUGAGACAGUAU
rnacentral:ncRNA from 2 species